UCGUUAGUACGGCGAGUGAAGCGGGAAGAGCUCAAAUUUGAAAUCUUCAAGGUUCUACCUUGACGAAUUGUAGUUUAUAGAAGUGUUUUCUGUUAGUGGAGUGGCAAAAGUUCUUUGGAAUAGGACAUCAUAGAGGGUGAGAAUCCCGUAUUUGGUCAUUCCUCCUAGCGUUGUGAUACACUUUCAACGAGUCGGAUUGUUUGGGAAUGCAGUCCAAAAUGGGUGGUAAAUUUCAUCUAAAGCUAAAUAUUGGCGAGAGACCGAUAGCGAACAAGUACCGUGAGGGAAAGAUGAAAAGAACUUU
rnacentral:rRNA from 1 species